AACGCACCUUGCGCUCCUUGGUAUUCCGAGGAGCAUGCCUGUUUGAGUGUCAUUAAAUUCUCAACCUUUCCAAGUUUUAUUACCUGGUCAGGCUUGGAUUUGGGGGUUGCAGGUUUCUUUCAUGAAGUCAGCUCCUCUUAAACACAUUAGCGGAACCUUUUUGUGGACCGUCAAUGGUGUGAUAAUUAUCUACGCUAUUGUACGCUACAAUCUUAUAGGGCUUCAGCUUCUAACUGUCCAUUGACUUGGACAAUUCUUGACCAUUUGACCUCAAAUCAGGUAGGACUACCCGCUGAACUUAA
rnacentral:misc_RNA from 1 species